GAUGAACGCUGGCGGCGUGCUUAACACAUGCAAGUCGAACGGAAAGGCCCAAGCUUGCUUGGGUACUCGAGUGGCGAACGGGUGAGUAACACGUGGGUGAUCUGCCCUGCACUUCGGGAUAAGCCUGGGAAACUGGGUCUAAUACCGGAUAGGACCACAUUUUGGAUGGUGUGGUGGAAAGUUUUUCGGUGUGGGAUGAGCUCGCGGCCUAUCAGCUUGUUGGUGGGGUAAUGGCCUACCAAGGCGUCGACGGGUAGCCGGCCUGAGAGGGUGUACGGCCACAUUGGGGCUGAGAUACGGCCCAGACUCCUACGGGAGGCAGAAAUGGGGAAUAUUGCACAAUGGGCGCAAGACUGAUGCAGCGACGCCGCGUGGGGGAUGACGGCCUUCGGGUUGUAAACUCCUUUCGCUAGGGACGAAGCGUUUUUGUGACGGUACCUGGAGAAGAAGCACCGGCUAACUACGUG
rnacentral:rRNA from 1 species